AGGGUUCGAUUCUGGCUCAGGAUGAACGCUGGCGGCGUGCUUAACACAUGCAAGUCGAACGGGAUCCCAGGAGCUUGCUCCUGGGUGAGAGUGGCGAACGGGUGAGUAAUGCGUGACCGACCUGCCCCAUACACCGGAAUAGCUCCUGGAAACGGGUGGUAAUGCCGGAUGCUCCAGUUGGAUGCAUGUCCUUCUGGGAAAGAUUCAUCGGUAUGGGAUGGGGUCGCGUCCUAUCAGCUUGAUGGCGGGGUAACGGCCCACCAUGGCUUCGACGGGUAGCCGGCCUGAGAGGGCGACCGGCCACAUUGGGACUGAGAUACGGCCCAGACUCCUACGGGAGGCAGCAGUGGGGAAUAUUGCACAAUGGGCGCAAGCCUGAUGCAGCGACGCCGCGUGCGGGAUGACGGCCUUCGGGUUGUAAACCGCUUUUGACUGGGAGCAAGCCCUUCGGGGUGAGUGUACCUUUCGAAUAAGCACCGGCUAACUACGUGCCAGCAGCCGCGGUAAUACGUAGGGUGCAAGCGUUAUCCGGGAAUAUUGGGCGUAAAGGGCUCGUANGCGGUUCGUCGCGUCCGGGUGUGAAGUCCAUCGCUUAACGGUGGAUCCGCGCCGGGUACGGGCGGGCUUGAGUGCGGAAGGGGAGACUGGAAUUCCCGGGUGUACGGUGGGAUGUGUAGAUUUCGGGAAGAACACAAAUGGCGAGGCAGGUCUCUGGGCCGUCACUGACGCUGAAGAACGAAAGCGUGGGGAGCGAACAGGAUUAGAUACCCUGGUAGUCAACGCCCUAAACGGUGGAUCCUGGAUUUGGGGACCAUUCACGGGCCUCCGGGUCGGAGCAACCCGUUAAGCAUCCC
rnacentral:rRNA from 1 species